rnacentral:rRNA from 1 species
UCUGGGAAACUGCCUGAUGGAGGGGGAUAACUACUGGAAACGGUAGCUAAUACCGCAUAACGUCGCAAGACCAAAGAGGGGGACCUUCGGGCCUCUUGCCAUCGGAUGUGCCCAGAUGGGAUUAGCUAGUAGGUGGGGUAACGGCUCACCUAGGCGACGAUCCCUAGCUGGUCUGAGAGGAUGACCAGCCACACUGGAACUGAGACACGGUCCAGACUCCUACGGGAGGCAGCAGUGGGGAAUAUUGCACAAUGGGCGCAAGCCUGAUGCAGCCAUGCCGCGUGUAUGAAGAAGGCCUUCGGGUUGUAAAGUACUUUCAGCGGGGAGGAAGGGAGUAAAGUUAAUACCUUUGCUCAUUGACGUUACCCGCAGAAGAAGCACCGGCUAACUCCGUGCCAGCAGCCGCGGUAAUACGGAGGGUGCAAGCGUAAUCGGAAUACUGG